CUUCAUUUAAAAAAUGAAACAGAACUACAGCUGUCCCUGAUAACUUUCUGCUAAGAGAACACGCUCUCUUGUAAUACACUACUGCCGGGGUAGCUUUACCUGCAGUCAUGUAUGUGGUUUGUCCGCGUCUGUUUGCCGCACCUUUAUUUCCAAGAUGGCCAACGCGAUGCGCAUGCGCCGCUCACAUCAGCCCCAAGGAGGAGCGGCAGGCCUUGAAGCCAGUUGUGGCCAAACUGUGAAAUUACAUCGGCAGCCCACCAAGACCUGCAGCACCAGCCGGAGCCUGCGGUCCAUGGCCUGGAGGUGAGGCUGGAUGAGGAUGGGGGAAAGCCGGUCACGGAGCAGAGACUCCUCCAUUAGGGCGCUCAGCUGGUAGUCCUCUUUGGCCAGAAGCUGUAGACGCAGGAGCGUCUCCAUGGGUUCCUCCAGGUCUUGCGUUUGGCCAGGUUCAGGUCUGGCAGGAAGGCUGCUAGCGAGCCCUCGAUCUGGUCCGGUUUGCCGCACAGAGCGUGCUCCGUGGAGCAGUAGUAGGAGCACUCGCCGUAGAAGCAGAUGUUAUUGGCUAAGGAGAGAGAAGGAAACAAGAUGAUGUUAAAGACAUGUAGCGGUGCCAAACUGCUGUGGCUGGCAGAGUCUCUACCUGGCGAGAUGAAGAAGGUCCUCCACAGCUUCUUAUCACGCGUCACGUCUCUGAUCUCCCUCGUCAUGUUGACAAGUCGGCCUGCCACCGGGGGCACUCUCCGGAAGUCAAGGAUCCUACACAAAGAGAAAUGUAGACAGAUCUCAUGAUUUAAUACUCAAACUAGAGGGGCUGAUGUUGCUUUUUUCAUAGCUUGUUCAUGUGUACCUUUACUCAGAGAUGUGUAAAUGAGUGUAUAAAGUGUUCGACCAGGGAAAAUCAAGUGUUGAUUGAGCUCUACUAGUAAGCAACUUAUUAAAGGUUGAUAUAUGUAACCUUUCAUUUUACUGUAUUACACAACAUUUCUGAUUGUAGUUUGCCCAGAAAAAUUGUCAGUCUCCAGCUCUUGCUCCCAUGAUGCCCCAGGCGCUACAGAUUUUCAAAGCAUUUCCAGCCAAACAGGAGAAAUAUGAACUCCGAGCGCCUGGCCUGUCUGUGAGAGCUGUCUGACACGGCACUGGAGUUCUGCACAUAACUUGCAUGUCUACACAGCAAAUCUGAAAUUUGUGAAUAUAUGUUUAGAGCGAUGCAGCUGACUAAAUGCCAAAUGACUGGA